rnacentral:lncRNA from 1 species
CGACGCAAUAGAAAAUAUGCACUUCAUUUUCUCGAAAAGCGCCGAAUCCCGCCUCGCAAGCUCGGCGGGAGGGAGAGAGGAACCCAUCCUCUCUCUACCCUUGAAACUCCACCUCCUUCUUAAAGUGUGCCAACACCACAACGUGUGUACCAACAAGUGUGCACGUGUGUUAGCAUUUUCACAAACAUUUUCUUUGAAGGAGUUAAGUUAGCUCACUAGGUUCUAAAUGCAUGCACAUGAACAAUGACA